GGGUCAGUAGGUUGGUGGUGCCACGGUUACGUUCUGGUCUCACUGAUUCCUCCUUCCUGAAGAACCGUAAUGCCAUUAAUUUGGUGUUGCGGGGAAACAGGACUGUUACUUUGAAAAAAUUAGAGUGUUUAAAGCAAGCUAACGCUUGAAUACAUUAGCAUGGAAUAAUGAAAUAGGACGAUCGAUCCUAUUUUGUUGGUUUCUAGGAUUGACGUA
rnacentral:rRNA from 1 species